rnacentral:snRNA from 1 species
AUCGCUUACUGGCCUUUUGGCUAAGACCAAGAGUA